CUUCUCUCUAGUUGGGGUGCCUGUGAAACCGGCAGGCUCUCUCCAAAUGCCUGGAUUCUGCUGGGGGAGUAAGAAGUCAGGAGUAGUUUGUCUGAUGCGCUGAAUAUCUUCAGGAAAAUGGGUUCCAUGAGAAGUGACAUCCUCCUCGAAUCAAAAGAUUCUCAGGAUGAUGGAGUGAGUGAUGGAAUAGGUUGCCAACUGUAGUUACUCCACUCAGCACAGAAUGGCUGCGGGGAAAUAUAAUCAGACAUGCCCAAAGAAGUCUGCUUAGGGUGAAACAAAUACCUUUGAGGUUUAAAUCAGAAAGGAAGGAGAGACUGUUUCUACAGGUGUCAUACAAAAAUCAAUACUGAGCCAAGGAUUAUUGGAUCCCAUAGAACCACGGAGACUUGGUAGUGAAAUUCUUCCAAAGCAUUCCAUCCGUGCAGGCAGAUGGUGUUCCUAGGUUUGGAAAUAUAAAUCCCAUGGGAAGUCAGCUGAAGACCAUUUUAUGCAUCACUCAUCCUGUUAGAGCCCUGUGCUGUUCUGUCUCUCUAUAAGACUGGCUGAAACCACCACGGUUGUUUACAAUUUAUGCUCUAACUUUGGAUCACCUAGUUAAUACUCUAACUCCGAUUAUUACCAAAGACAAUGUUCUAUAAAAGAUAUUGUCUAUUAGAAGGAUGCUUCUGCAUUAUUAAUAAAAUCACAGGGAAAAUGCAACAUUUUGGAUGUCACAUCUGAUAAGUGGGUGACUGAUCGUACCCGCCAGCUGGCUAAUGUCAUAAUUAACAAAGUUGCUACUACAUCUGCAAAGUUUAAUCGAAAAAUUUGCCAGUGAUAUGAUGGCCUUGUCACAGAGAUCACAAGGGACACGGAGUUGACUUUUGCUCAAGGUGGAACGACAGAGCUGUGUAGGCAAGAUGAGAAAUUGCGAACUUGUUCGGCCAAAGGAGGCUAAUAAUGAAGGGGCCGGGAAGGAGGCCAGUGCUACCAGGGUUAUCUCACAACCUCAGAUGCUGGAUAAGUCGACGGAGGCAGAAUCGCUUUGGGAUGACAUUCAGAAAGCCUGGAGUGAUUACUUGCAAGAGAAAAGCCUACCUAUUCUUUCCAAGGUGCAGGAAUAUUCCCCUGACCUGCUCAUCCAGUGGUCCAGUAAUGAAUUACUGGAGACCUGCCUUAGACAAAGAAUGCACUCGGAGCCCCAACACACCUAAAGCCAUGCUUUGAAGGAUCUGCCAAGCUCACUUUUAAUCAUGAGAAAGAAAUUACCCACACGGAGUCAGCAGAAAAUGAGAAAGUAGAGCUCGUGCUGUGAAUAAUUCCAGCAAGUGCCAAGGGGCUAGUUGAGGAAUGGCUUCAUGAGAACAUGCUCUAGGGGAACUAUUAAUAGCCCACCAGUCGGGUAGGCAGCAUUCAAUCCUUCUAUGCCUUCUUUCGCCACCUGUUGAGGUCUUUCUUCUGAAACAAAGAAGAAAUAGACAAAUCAGACUUGCCCUCUUGGAAAUGUGGUCCAGAUUUCUCUACUCCCAAGCUCCAAAAAAGGUAUACAUUGGAUGGGCUAGAUCAACUCCUCCUGAGAGCCAUAAAUCCGCCAAGAGUUGUUUUCCAUGUAAGGGUGUGGUACAAUGGGGAACACCUGAUGUUGGAGGAAAGCAGGAGGACUUUAGAGUGGAGUUGCAUUCUAAUCUCUCUGCCGCUUCAACUAUGUGACCUGGGGCAAAUGAUAUAAACUCUAUGAGCCUCUUUCCUUAUCUUUAAAAUGAAGAGAAGUAAUACCUACCUUGUAGGGCUGUUGUGAGGAUUAAAUGAAGUAAUGCAUACAGUGCCUAACAAAGUAUUUAACAUCAUAUUUUUUAAAAGCUCAUGAAAUAUUAGUUUUUCUUCCUUCCCCUCUUUCUAUUUUCUCUCCUGUUCCCUUUUCUCUCCCUCCUCUGCCCUCUCCUUCCUUCAGAUGUUAGUCUAAAACAGCACCUUGGAUCUAAGCAGCACCUUUGAGAAAGAAAAGACUGCUUCAAGAAUGUCUAGUUGCACCUCCUUUCCGUAUGUGGCCUAAAUGCCUAGGUUGGAUCAAUAGUUUAAUUUUUUUAUUGAACUGUUUAAUAUUGACUAUGGACUUACAUUCACUUUUACUGUUUUCUGUAUAUUUACUUUUGCUUGAAGUGUUUUAAUAUUGACUAUUUACCUCUGCUCAUUUUUAUUGAUUUUCUGUAUUUUUUCAAUGAAAAUUAUAAUAAAAAUUAUUUUUGUUA
rnacentral:lncRNA from 1 species